GCCAAGAAAAAUGUCAACAUCUUCUGUUAUAUGUCCAAUUUGCUCUGGUUCCAUAAAUAUGAAGAACCCGAUUAAUUUUUACUCACAUAUCAACUGGAAUCAUUCGUUCAGUACCAACUUCUUCGUAACAUGCAAGUUUGCAGGAUGUCUCAGCAGUACAACAAGUUUCUGUCAUUCAAACGCCAUGGGAAUAAAGUACAUGGCAGUAGCAAAUCAAAUCAUGUUGAAUCAGCUGUUGAAGUAUCAAACGAAAAUGCAAAAGUUGACAUCCCUGUACUUCAAUCUGAAGAAGCCACAGAAGAGAAAAUUUUUGUUUCCGAAGACAGUUAUGAAAAGCACAAGAAAAUCUAAGCAUAUCAAAUCAUCCUGAAGCAGGUGAAGGAAUCAACACCAAUGCGGAGGUUAAAAUCCCUUUUGCAGAUCUGACUGAAAGAGAAUGGGAGGCUGGUGUACUGUUAUUGCUGCGACAGAAACACUAUCUCCCCUUUGAUGCCUUGAUGUGUGUUUCUGCUUCAAUGCAUGAUUUCUAUGAGAGACGUCUCUUAACCAUACAGGUAUUACCUUUUUUCCCUUAUUCCGUCCAAAUGUAUUUUUGAUUAUCAUUAAUUUUCACAAUGGAAAUAUAUUAUAUAUUGUUAUUGUAAGGAUCCGCCGACCAAAUCAAAAUUCAAACGGUAAAAUUUAACGGGGUGCUUUUAUUGCCCUGUUUUAACCCCAAAUUUGUUGCCUCGAAUGACCGACUUUGUACUUUUAUUACUCUAACGGUAAAGUCAGCCUUCUUUCGCCGACCUUAUAUUUUUGAACACGCCUGACCUCAUUUGAAUUUAAAUUCGACUCUCUGUGUUACCGUAUAAAAGACGGACAAACUUCACCAGCAGUAAGUCGAGUCACCAGUCGACCAGCGAGGCAAUCAGUGAGUCAGUCUUCUCCCGAUUUCUCCCUCCGUCUGUUACCUUUUCCCAUUAG